ACACUGCUGAGGAAUCCCAUAAUAGGACGAAACGGCCUUCCAGUAU
rnacentral:hammerhead_ribozyme from 1 species